CUGGAACAUGACGAAACUCCAGGAAAUGUGCGAAUAAAACGAAGCGUUGCACUGUGCCUGAAGCACACGGGCAAGGCAUUGGGCAAAAGAUUUCAAGGUGGCUUUACACUUUUUCCAAGCAUUCCUCAGAGUCAGCACCUGUCAGGAGCACAUUGAUGCAAUCCACUCUCACCUGACUUCAGUUCUGGACAACACCCACAGUGACCAGAUCAAAUUCACCAUGGAUGUAUACUUUUCCCCCAGAGUGUGUACAUCUACAGCAAGUCAACCAGCAGUGUUUAAAAACAAGAGAACGUGAAGCAGAAGUGACACUGUUUAAAUAGAUCAGGCUCUCCAGGACAAGGCGGAAAGAAAAACAUGUCUCUUUUGUCAAAGCCAGACAAAGCCCCACAGACCUUAAAGUGGGCAAUUCAAAAUUCUGAAGACUGGACUUCUGCUUUCCAGCCUGUCUUCUCUGAUCUCCAGUCAUCCGAGAGGCUUCAGCCAGCCUGCGAGCUGUCAAAGUAGCCCUGGAAUCAAACGCCACUUCAUGCUCAGCUAUGAUCAAAGAGACACAGAGAAGAAACAUGGAGCACACUGAUCAGAAUAAAGCAAAGUGAUCAGGUUUUGAAGAUGUGGGGGGAAGUUUGUUCUCGCCAGAAACUUUUGGACACAGGGAAUUCUUGGAUAGAGGUUCAAGAUGUUUGUCAAAACAUCAGUGUAGAGACUUCCCAUUUGCACCCGGUUCCAUGGACGAAAAAAAAAAAAAAAAAAGAGGAAA